GAGUUCAGAGUGAGCUCAGCUGGUCGGCCUAAUGGGUCAUUACUGGUUGACUCUCUCUUGUUUGUGGGUCUCGCCCGGAGUUAACUCUUCGGAUGUGGAUCCCACAUCGUUUACCUUGAAAAAAUUAGAGUGUUCAAAGCAGGCGUUUGCUUGAAUAUAUUAGCAUGGAAUAAUGGAAUAGGACGCUGGUUCUAUUUUGUUGGUUUUGAGAACCAGAGUAAUGAUUAAUAGGGACAGUUGGGGGCAUUCAUAUUUCAUUGUCAGAGGUGAAAUUCUUGGAUUUAUGAAAGAUGAACUUCUGCGAAAGCAUUUGCCAAGGAUGUUUUCAUUAAUCAAGAACGAAAGUUAGGGGAUCGAAGACGAUCAGAUACCGUCGUAGUCUUAACCAUAAACUAUGCCGACUAGGGAUUGGGCGUGGUUUGUUCAUUGACCCGCUCAGCACCUUACGAGAAAUCAAAGUCUUUGGGUUCCGGGGGGAGUAUGGUCGCAAGGCUGAAACUUUAAAGGAAUUGACGGAGGGGCACCACCAGGAGUGGAGCCUGCGGCUUAAUUUGACCUCAACACGGAAAAACUUACC
rnacentral:rRNA from 1 species